GCGGGAGCCACCGGCCUGGAAACCCAAGGCAGCGGCGCCCGGAAGACGGUUUUCGGGUCUUGAAGAGACCUGUUGGAAUAAACACAUUCAAGAUAAUAGCGUGGGGCCGGACAAAGGCAACAUCAUUGUGAAAAUGCCUUCAACCUGAAACAUUCUGAGGGAACUACGCAGGAACAAUGGACACGAACUGCCUAAUGUGUAAGAAAUAUGCUUUGCCUCUGAGAAGUCCAUCCGUUAAUAUUAACAAGGAGAAAGGAAAAGAGUAAUUUGGCAGGAAGCUCCGAGUCUCCUCCAGACUUGAGUCAAGAGAUCAUCAAGGAUGGAGUCUAGCUGUAAAGUACACCACUCUUCCUCUGAUGGGAGUGACAACUGGGGUGGCUGGAAUCAGAGGGCAGCCUGCUCUCCUUUGGCAAACAAACACCCACUCGGGCAACCAAGCUUCUAAAAGAAGAGGUUGUUUUUUCCUGUGUAAGAAUGUAUAUAACAGGAUCAUACAUACAAGUCUAUUGUACUGCAUCACAGAGGCAAAACAUCUGUUGGCAAAGUCUAGGAAGGAGGAGGAGAUUCUCCAUCUUCCUUAUGAACAUUCACAAAGAAGUUCUGGUGAAUUUACUGCUAGUGAAGCUUGUCAGCUUCGAAGAUCCCAGCUCUGGGGAAGCAACCAAAUGGUUCUGACUACGGGCAAAGUA